rnacentral:lncRNA from 1 species
AUCACAAGGGCACACAGGCCUAAUGACUACUGCAAAGGGAAGGGCCCACAUGGAAGGAAGCUGCGCAAAAUGCAGCCACAUCCAGGUCCUCCUCCAAAAUAGUACCAGCAACUCCUGCACCGCCGCUACCUCGAUAGUGGCAACGAUGAAUCCCGAGUGCUGCAUAAGGGAGAAAAAACAAGGCUGCUCUUUUGCUAGCCUUGGCGAGCCGUCCCACACCGCAUGCCACACAUCCACCUCUAAGAGAGCCGGAUAAAGACCACAACACUCAUCACCCAUCACUCGCGAGUUCUAGCAUGGACUUAGCUGGAUCACGAGCUGCAAGAUGAGGCACGUGACGAACACUCCUACGAGGAUUCUUCUAGCAUCGUGGCUAUCCCUAUGAGCACUAGAGUCUGUGGAGGGAAGGUGGCUCUAAUCUAUGAGGAAUCUUCUAGCACCAGAGUACUCUUUGAUGGCUCCCUACAAUCAAAUAACAGCAAUCGAAAGCAAUCCAUUGCUACUCAAGUCCGAUCCCAAUCGAUCCCGUGGUAGUCUAUUUAUAGCCAAGCGCCACAACUAACAACCACUGUUACUAUUCGCCCGUGACAAAAAGUACUGACGAGUCAGGAUGCUCUUUGACUCCGCUCACGUGAAAGCAUUCACACCGCAAAAGAUAAAAGAGUACAGUACACCCGUGCACCCCCUCCCAAGAGUAAAAAGAUAGAGUACUCGACAAACCCCGUGACUACUCGAUUAAUACUCAUACUCCCUCCAAACGACAAGGAUUGACAAUCAUUCAUCAGACUUCAAGCAAAAGAUUGUCUCGAGUAAAAUACUCGACAGGACUACAAGGCUACAUAGGCCUAAGGCUCCUCCAAAAAUACAAACUCAGACAUCUUCGAAGCGAUUGGCUCAACCUCCUCAAGAUACUGCGCAUAAGCAUCCUCCGUACAGUUCCGAGCCACACCAUCACCA